CAUAGACACAAUAAUCCUGUAUGAUCCAUUUAAAAACAUCUCUGAAACAAGAGAGGGAAACUUUAAACAUGCUGAAGUGUUUUUAUGGCAGAAGUAUUUAGCUGGUGUUUCAUAGUGGCACAGAGAGUAGAUUUGAGAUUGAGUUGGGAUCUUGCUUGGUAGUUAUGGAGGAAAGUCAGAAGUGUAAGAGCUUUGAAAUGAUGAGUCAUCCCUGAGCCAAGGUUCAAGAUGAAGCUGUGAGAAUAAGUGACAAACAUUUGAUAAAUAUGAAGAAGACAAAGAAACUCAUUCUGGACUUUAGCCAACCACAAUUUUGGGUGGAGAAUGCACACUGAUUAAAACAUUUCCGUAGACAUUUUCAUCCUGUCCUCUGCUGACCAGCUUGGAAGAUAAAUGUGGAAUUGCUAUUUUCAGAGAGAAGAAACAGACAUAGCAAUAUGAUAAGAAUUAAACUAGAGCUGCAUACAAGAUGCUGCAGAAUAAUGAAGGAUAUAGGUUUUCCUGUCUUGUCAUUGUGUCCAGAGAAGAACAGAUGAAUGAGAGAACAGAAAAUGACAACAAUGACUCCAGAGAAAUAUAUGCUAAACAAAUCAGAAGAGACCCAAAAUUGAAAAAAAAAAAAUUUAAAAAAGAAUAUAAUGAAAAAAAAGAAGAAUAUAAUGAGACAGGUGCAAAAUCAAGUCGUCUGCAAAUAUUAGUCAACCUCCUUCAUCGACUUCUAUGUCUUAUAUUUAUUCUUUCUAAUUUUAUUGGAUAAUGGCAGUAGAAAAAUUAUAUGAAUUUCAUCAAAGGAAUACUCUGAUGAUAUUUUGGUACUUCCCAAAUAAUAACCAUUAUGACUUGCACAGACUUCAUAAAUGGUUCCUUCGGUCUCAGAUGCUUUAGGUAACACUCAAUGGUAUUUGGAUGGAGUUCUGAGUUUUCUCUGACUUCUCAUUGAACUGAAAAUGUACUCAAUCAAUCAAUGUGUGUUGUUGUUCUUCUUCUUCCAAAGACAGUUUUUUUAAAGAACAGUUUUAGGUUCACAUCAAAAUUGACAGAAAGGUACAGAGAUUUUCCAUAUGCUCUACCAACCUCAUACAUGCAUAGUCUCCCUUAUUAUUGACAACCUCACGCAGAGUUAUACAUUUGUUAUCAUUGGUGAACCUACCCUGACAUAUCAUCAUCACUCGAAGUCCAUAGUUUACAUUCUUGUACAUUCUGUGGGUUUGUAUAAAUGUAUAAUGACUUGUGUUUGUCAUUAGAGCAUCAGACAGUAUUUUCACUGCUGUAAAAAUCUUUCUGCUCCACCUAUUCAGCCUUCCCUUGCCUUCUCCAGUACAGGUAACCACUGAUUUUUUUCACUGUCUCCAUAGUAUAACUGCCUUUUCCAGAAUGUUGUAGAGCUGGAACUAUACACUGUGUAGUCUUCUCAGAUUAUCUUUUUUCACUUAGUAAUAUGCUUUUAAGGUUCCUCCGUGUCUUUUCAUGGCUUAAUGGCACAUUUAUUUUUAAUGGUAAAAAUAUUCCAUUGUCUGGAAUGGAAUACUUUUCUUACACAGUUUACUCAUCCAUUUGUCCAAUGAAGGAUAUCUUGGUUGCUUCCAAGUUUUGACAGUCAUAAAUAAAACUGCUAUAAAUAUCCAUGUGCAAGUUUUUUGUGUGGUCAUAAGUUUUUAACACCUUUGGGUAAAUACCACGGAGCACAAUUGCUGGAUCACAUGGUAAAAUUGUUUAGUUUUGCAAAUACUCACUGAGUUUUUAUUGUUAUUCUUCUGGUUUCU